UGAGAUGUAGCGAGGAGCCCAAUCGGACUCAAAAAUACGACACCGUUUCAUGCUCCGUAUAAAAGGACACAUUUUCACCUGCGUAAUGUAUCUUGCAGUCAGCCACUGAUCGGAGAAGGCUGGUCUUAUGCUCUUCUCCAAUUCCCUCAUUUGAUUUUGGUGACAGAGGCUGUGCUUUCCUCGAAUCAUACAACAGUAACUGCGCGGCAGCGGCGAUGAAGAAGGAAUGGAAGCGAAGAGAACUGAGCAUUUUGGUGCUCUAUGCCAUUGCUUUCUACACUUUCAUCGUCCGUCGAUCCCUUCAACUCUCUCACGAUCAUGAAGCAAAGCUCUAUGGUUUGCGCCCUGGAUGGCUUCUCCCUCCUUGUCUUAAUGAUGUCUCUGAUGCCCAAUGGAGAAACUUUCGCGGAAACUUGCCAAUUCUUACUGUUGUUUUCGGAAUUUCCACUGCGUUGGCCAAUUUCUUAAGGGCUUUCUUGCGUUUAAAAGCAAAGGGGAUGUCCAUUGUUUGGCUUGUCAUUUCCUUAGUCUAUUUAUCAUACCUUCAUGGAGCUUGGUGUGACCUCUUUUUCGUCAAAAUGCUUUCCUUCCUUCACUGGUUUGCUAUUUUUUUCCUAACCCUCUUCUUUUCUGGUGUGUUCUAGCACUGUAUUUAUACUGUCCAUUGCCUCGGUUAAUUUCCUUCUAGUAAAGAUUUGCAUUUCUACAGAUAUUUGCGCGAACCACAUACUUCUCAUUCCUACUUUGGGUUUUCAACAUAUUUUUUCUUCUAUGUAAUCGUGUUUAUGAAGGAUAUUCAUUCGCCACUUUUGGACAAAGGUGGGCAUAUUUGGACAAUUUUCGAGGCACCUUUAGGUGGCACAUUUGCUUUAACUUUGUUAUUCUGCGCAUGAUAAGCUUCGGAUAUGAUUACCAUUCAUCUUGAUACUCAUUUUGAUCAGA
rnacentral:misc_RNA from 1 species